AGCUUCUGCCCGCGCGGAGAUAAACAAGCACCGCGACCGCCGAGCAGCGCCGAACCCAGCGCGCCCAGUCAGACCCCAGGGCCUGUGUACCGAGCAUGCGCAGUUCCCGCCCAAGCCAGGAGCAGCGUCAACCUGAGACUCCCGAGACAUUAAGAAUUCGGAAGGGAUGAGAUGGUAGAGGGGCUAGAGCUACCUCCAAGCUUUAUCCUGAGGCGGGGAGUGAAGGAGAGAUGCCCAAGGCCCAAGAGGGGCCGCGAGGGCCUUUGUCCGAUGCCACCCAGUCUGUCAGCACUCCUAGAGCUUUGGUUUUAUCUUGUAUUAGCAUGUGAAGCUUUAAGGGGGGGGCACCUACAGGCUUCUGACUGAAGUUGUGUAAACGCAACAAAAUGAAGCUUUGGAGCGUUAGGACAUUGAUGGGAGGGUGACGCCCCCCUCUAGCAGCGCGCCAGAGGGGCGAGUCAGAGGCGGCCACACACCACGGAAGUCGGGUCCAAGCCCGCUGACGUCGCCGGGGUCCCGCCCACCAACCCUCUGGACCCGCCCACAUUUCUUCUAGACCCGCCCCUUUCGGUGCCGAACUGAAGUCGAGCUCUUCCCACGCCCUGUCAGCCACGGGUGAGUUGAAAACCUGGAGAGCGGAAUCCCGAACGGCAGCCGGAAGGCCCUGGACUCCUCAUAGCAACAGCCAGCUAGGGGCAUCUAGUGGGAAGCUGGGAUUCAUUCUAGCCAACCACGUGCCUUUACUCCUUCAACCAAUCGAGAAAAACGCUAGUCGUAGGAUCCGCAAGCCCACCUCCCAGUGCCUUGCCAGGCGGGGCUCUUCGCGCACGCUCUGCCAACCAAUCGUAGGUGAGCUGGCGAGUGACGGAAGCUUCGGCCAAGCCAACCAGAGCUCGCGAGCCCCUUGCCACCGAGGCCGGCGGGAUGGAGACAGGGACCGGCUGCUGGGGUUUGGGAGGGGCAGAGAUUGAGGAGCCAGUUGCUGUGCCCUGUUCUGGCAAAAGAACAAGAUGCGUUGCAAGCCAGAAUGAUGAAUUCCACUUUUCACGUCGCCUCCGUGGCAUUCUGCCUAAAUGAUGGGCAUGGAAAUGGUGCUGAGGGAUGUGGGCUGAAUCGAGAACACAGGGACUUUUGUCUUCAGGGUGAGAAAUGUUCCGGUCCUUAAGGAAACAUCGUGCAGCAGUUGCAUGGGUCUUCCAGGCGUUCCUCCCAAAACAUUAUUUUUUUUCUUUCACUAUUGAGUUUUAAAACUUAGCGUUCUGUCGCUAGCAUUGCAUCUUAGUUACACAUCCUCUCCCACCCAUAACGUCAAAUUUAGGAGACGAUACAUCCCCAAGCUUUCCUGCAUUAUUUUUUGCAGUAACUGGUUAUUCAGUUUACUUUCUUUAAACUAUGUCCUUCUCAAACUAGUCUCACCUGUUCGUUACUGUCGCACAUUUCCUGCGAAUAACACGUUUCUGUAGUUCUGUUGUUAGAGCCUGGCAUACCUCUCCCCGUUCCUCUUUCCCACAAGGUCAUCAUGCAGAGGGGAUUUUGGUCUGAGUUAAAAGCCAGGUAUUCUUUCACCAUCUUUUCUGUCGAUAGUCAAACUACUACAAAGACUACUCAAAUUUAGUAGUUUCUUAUUUCCCUAUAGCUUCGUUAUAUUAGAAUGGAUAACUUAUAUUUGCAUUACCUUGCUGUAAUGAACACACACCAAGUUUUCAUUUAAAAUUAUCAAGGACAAAUGUCCUCUGAAUUUAAAAAUGUGUAUGUAGUAAAAUAUAACUCAGCAUUUCUUGAUUACAUAUCAUUAAAAUAUGAAUGGUACUAUCUGAGCCACCAGAAUCAGCAGUGAAGGUAUUAUAUUAAUAAAAAGGACUAAGAAUCAGGACUGUUUUAAGGGAACUGGAACCGAAGAGGAUCUACUAUUUCAUCCUAGGCUAGUUAACAUGAAAUAGUGAAUUAAAAUUGAAAGAGCUUACAUGGAUGCUUCAUAUCUGAGCUACUUUGGCAGGGAUGUUUCAAGAGGAUGUAGGUAAGUAUGGUGUUCACCUAGCUUUCCAGAAGUCUCAUAUUUUGUGUAAAAUUGGUAUGCUUAUUCAUGGUUACUUUGGGUUAGUAGAAGCUAUACUUCUUUUCCAAGGAAAGACAGACUGUCUUAAGAUUCUAACUGUGCAUCUUGGUGAUAAGAAGUUCUUAGGGUUGUUAAAUAGAGCCAGGAAGCGUGAAGCUUUCUCUCUAGAUCAUGACAACUCAUCUAGUACCUUGCAUUACAAAGGAGCUCUAAGUCCAUUUACUUUGCAAGGAAUGAAGUUCCAGUGAUUAAUGUUUUUGAGAAAUUUGUAUUGGGAUUGUGGGGUCCAGAAGGUUGCCUUAAGUAACUGUUUUCAUGACUCCUAGGUCCCUAGAUGUUGAGAAGCUCUGGAUUGAAGCUGUCACAAAAAUAGUGAGUGGGCUCCGUAGUCACUCCAUUUAGCAUAAUACAGAGUAGGACAGCUUUGUGACAUUUCUCAGGCUAUUUCCCCUGACCUCUCAUCAAUGCUGACGUUUUUGAUAAGAAGGGGUAUAGAGACUGCAGCCCUUGGGGUGGUUACAGUUCAUUUAUUUACAGGCCUUAUAUUGACAGGCCUCAGAUUUCAUGCUCAGUACCAUAAAGGUUGAUUUUUAACCACCAAGAGGCAAAAGAAACAUGACAGGUCGGAGCAUAUUUUCUCACCUAUUCUGGCUUAAAUGAUGGUACUUACCUGAUUUGUGGUUGUAGGUGAAAUGUUGGGUGAAAGAUUAGCUGCUAUAAAAAGGAUGUCAGGACGUGUAGAGAAUUUAGAGGACUUGGGUGGGAGAUGGAUGUCUAUUUUCUAACCCCUUAGUCAUGUUCAUUCCGAUGCCAGCAUAAACUCUAUUUUGAGAUGAUUAUAGAAAUAACUUAUAUCUUCAUUUGUUUGUGGGAAAUAAAAAAUAAAAAUGAUAUAAAAGAAAUUUGAAUUAUUCCCAAGAGCUGUAAAUCUGUAAGAUAGUGAAAACUUAACGCAGUAACUGACACUGCAGGAUCCCUUUAGUUUCCAAAGUGCAUUGCCAGGAGAAUAAAAAGAAAGAAAAUCUUCAUUUCUCCUCUCUCCACUAAAUCUGAAAGGGAGUUAUCUCACCUAUAGCCAGAUACCUUCAAUUAUCGCACUUGUGUUACCGUGGAAACCCAAGUCCAUCCUUUCUUUCUGUAAAAGGUGUUGGAAAAGGUGGUAUGAAGUGGGAAAGGUACUGUAUUCUGGGACUUCCUGACACCAGCAAGAAGCAAAUAUGCAGAUAAUUUAAUAGAAACAAAUUAGUAGAGGAUGUUUGUAAUGCGAGGGGUACUUUUCGACUGUAAAACCCUGAUUCCUAAUGCUUCUUAUUAAAGCCUGCAUGCCUCUGAUUAAACAUAAAGGGGAAGGGCAUGUCAAGUACAUUUAGCACCUGUGAAACGCUGCUGGCAAGUAUAAGGAGAGCAGACGAUGGUUUCUUGACCUGUGAGGCUCCUAAUACAGUUGAGAAUCUGCAGUAUAUAUGUGGAGUGGAAAGGAAGGGGCAAAAUAAACUUUGUUCUUCCUUUAAAAAAUGUGAUAUGUCUCAGUGCUUUUGAAAAGAAAAGGAAUUAGAAUGCAGAAAUUAAGAGUAUGGAAACAACUCAAUAAAAGAAACGUAUGGGUGGAGAGAGUAGAUGUUUCAAAAGGCCAUUUUAAUCAGAAAAAAAAUCUGAAAGAAAAGACGUAAUGAUUAAAAUGUAGGCAGAAAAAAGAAAAAGCCUGAAGAAUCUUAAGAGCUAGAGGAUUCUGCGGAAAACAGAGCUUCAGUGUGGUUCAUUUAACAAAGCAGAAGAGCAGGCACAGUGUUGCUUGCGUACCCAGCAGUUUCCCUUUAUUUUUGCCAAAGAAGCUGGGAUGAAUCAGGAUUGGACUUUAAUAGCAUUGCUUUCCCUCUGCCCACGGUUAGUCCAAAAGUAGGCACGUGACUCAGUUCUUGUCAUUGGAAUGGGGAGAAGGCUGCUAGGGCUGGAGGGAUUUCUAGGAUAUUGACAAGAGUGAGGAAAUAUCCCCGUUUUCUGAUGUCGCUCUCUUUGCUUCCUGCUUUACACAUUGAAAUAUGAGAAUGUGGCCUCCAUUUGGGGGCUAUGAUGCAUUAUGACAUUAUGGUGCAAUACUGUAGAAAGCCAGCAACUUCGGAUGGCCAGGGAGGAGGAUGGGAAGAACCUAGGUCCUGCAUGACAACAUUGGACAGUCAAACCAACAUUAGAACUGCCCACAUUUGGACUUAUGGCUAAGUAAACAGCUGGUGUCUUUCAAUUUAAGUGUGUGUUGGUAAGGUUUUCUGCAUCUUACAGCAAAAUACAUCCCACCUGUUAACAAAAAGUAUGAGGGAUUCCAGCCAAAAUCGGGCUUUAAAAAAUCAGCAAGCAUUUGUGAGCACUUUCAUUUCACUAAUAUCUGAACGAUAGUUCAAAGAUACUAUAAUAUUAAUUGAGUAAUUACUGUGUAUAUUUUUUAGGCUCUGGGGAUAAAACAAUAAGCAAUUAGCCAAAAGAGCUUGUAUUCUAGCAGGAGAGACAGAUAUUAAGCAACCAAUUACAUGUUUAUAUUAUAAAAUAAUGGUUAUGCUUAAAACUAAUAAGGAAAAAUCAGGAAUUAGAAAGGGUAUAUAGUAAUUAUAUAAAUAAUAAAAUAUUACAAAAUAUAUAACUAAAUAACUGAAUGAAAUUACAAAAACAAACACUUUCCAAGUAAAUGAGAAUGAAAUGUAUAGUUUUUACUGACAUUCCCAGAGGUCGAGAGAAACAGUAAAUUGGAGUAGGUUAGUCCAGGAGAGUUGUCUGAAGCAAAUUAAUAUUGUAUCAGGUUUUGAAGGAAGUGGCGAAAGGACAGGCUAGAUGGGGCAGAAGAGAGCACUCUAGAUGUAAGGAACCAGAAGAGCAAAGGAAGAAAGCAGGAAUGAAGUAAGAGUGAAUGAGGGAAAUACCAGAAUCACUUGAUUUUUUAAAUUCCCUGUAGCAACAGCAUUCUAGGGGCAUCUCUCAGAGAAAAAGACAGAAAGAUGCCAGAAGUCUCAAAGCAAGAUUAUUUAAAGGUAUAAAAAUAAUAUAGGAGAAAAAUACAGAAGACAAAGUAGGAGUACAAGAGUGCAUUUGAAAUUAAGGCGUCAUUCAAAAUAAUGAAUAAUUUAUAAUGUGGGCGUCAAAAGAGUUGUCAUAAGAAGUAAUUAUGGAUUUAAGGGCAUCAAGAAGGAGGGAUUCAAACUUUCACAAAUAGAAAUAGAAGGAAACAUGAGGAGUGGCAAAAAAUGAAGACAGGUAGAAAAACAGUUUUUGCUUGUUAUUUUUCCAUGAUAGCUGUUAUUGACAUGCAUUAUGUAGAAAUGAAUGGAAUUUGUUUGAAAAGAAAAAUUUCAAUAGAGCAGUAAUACAUAAAGGUAGGCUUUUUGGUAAAUAGUGUAAUUUAAAAUGUUUUCACUAGAAUGCCUUUUUGUACCUUCCUGUAGGAAAAUCUUUUCAACAAAAAAAGCUGUAAGUCAUAAUAAGUUACAGAUUAGCAAAGCAUUUUUGAAAUAAAAAAAAACCCAUGAUUGCACUGUCUUCUCCAGUGACUGGGGAAAGGGACAGUGCUUUGUUCAUUUUUGCUUUACCAGCAUUCAGCACAUCGCCUAAAAACAAUUGUGGGAAUUCAUAAAAUGUUUGUAAAUAAAUGAGCAAUUGAGUGGACUAUAAUGUUGCUUCUAAAAACCCUGGGUUUUGAACACAGAGAAGAUGAGAAUAAAAGGAAAGGAAUAAGGAUUUUCCCCAAAUCAAGGUGAGGUUGAUGUAAAUGUCCUCCAAAGUUGGUCUAAUCUCCAAAGAAGCUUGUAUCUCAAAAACAGUAAGUCUCCAACAGGCAAAGUCAAUGGCAGUUUGUAGACCUGGAAUUUAGGAGUGCCAGGAAAGAUCUGAAAAAUCAUGUCUUCUAUCAACUGACUGUUGUCUGAAAUUCUGCACUUAGGUUUUAGUCUUUUGAUGUAAAAGUUAUUUUUUUCCAAUUAAAAUGUAAGUAGGAGAUAUACAGUUAAAUUGUACCAUCAGUCUGUCAACUUCGGGGCAUGCAACUAUGCUUACCUGGAUGAAAAAGAAAAUGAAGAAAGUAAAAUAGAAGAACGUAGUUUAAAUUGGGGGAUAAGUCAUGGCAUGAGUAUGUGCCCAGAGCGAGUAUAAGAAGGCCAUGGAAAUCCACUGUAUUUUUGUCAUACACUUAUUAAUUUGUUUCAAUAAGGUUAAUCACUCCACAUGGUGUAACAAGAAAAAUAACAGCCUUUACAAUUACUAGAUUCUUAAACUUAUUUCAAAUACUUUUUAAUUUUUAUGAGAUUAUAAGAAUUUUUUAAACUUUGAAGCUGCAUGCCUUGUCUGAUUCCUUCCAUUUCUCUUCUGCUUCUCACAUUAUUGUGUUCAGCAAUGGUUUGGAGGCAUCUUGGGGAAGACAGAGCAGAGUUAUGGUGUAAGGACCAUCCAACUCUUCUCAGCAGCCAUCCAGUUAUCUUGUCAAGGGAAGUUACUCAUCCUGCUCUCUAGAAUUAUCUCCUCAAAAAUCGGUUUCCUGCUUUUCACAGAACAGUACACCAUCUUUUACUAUUAUCCUAAUUAAUGCUUCUCACACAGCCUUACAAAAUAUUAGUCACUUAAUUAUUAACCACAUUCAUUGGGCUGCACUAGUUGAAAAAGAUGUCUUGUUUACUUAGUCAAAGCGCUGUCUCUGUGCAAUGGCAUUGAUGGUGAAAUUGAUCAGAGUCUACGUUUGAAUGAGAGAAGCUGAGGGAGACAUUUCAGAAAUAGUAAGCCUUUUUAUUUCCUUGGUGUACCAGGUAGUCAAGGAAAGUUAAAGUAUUUUUUUAUACUUUGUCUUGAUUACAUUCUUUUGGGGACUGGUCUCUGGUGUUAGGUUUUUAAUAAAGAUUUUGGCCAUUUUCCAUGCAAACUAAUGUUUCCAAUGAAAAGAUACAACAUUGCAUGUAAAUUACCUAAGAAAUAUUAAUCUGUCAAUGUAAUUAAAUUAUAUAAGCAACAAUUAGUUUCAAAGCUGGAAUGGAUUAAGUCAGUUCUAUACUGCACACUGACAAAGUGAAAGGAACUAAAAUGGACAAAUUGUGGUGCUGUAAGGUUAUGAUUCUUAAGAUUUUUAUAUUAAAGUUGCAGAGUUUCAAAGUGCUCAGUGCUGCUCUUUACAUUAGGGCUGUAGACUCUCUUAAGCCCGAGGAUUCUAUCUGGAUAUGUGAUUGAUAGGGUGGAGGCUGGGCUGAGGCUUAGUAAGACAUUUAACCAUGCUUUGUAUAAUACUCCUUAAAUGUUGGCUCUCACAAACAUAGAAAUAGCGAACAUUAACUAGCUCUCUGUUUCAAUGUCUACCAUCUACCUGUCAACUUAAAAUCAUGAAAUCUAUAAAUUUGGAGAGGAGAGCUUUAUUUCUUACCAAGAGUUGCAGCCAGCAGGGUGGCCAUCCUAACUGGCUGGGAAGUGUAACCUCAGGCAGAGACCAAAAGCAAGUUAUUCAAGGGAGGAUGAGAUAGGAAUUUAUGCUGAAUGGAUUGGCCAAGUAUAUUUAUUUAACAGAUUGUAGGAGGAGCUAUACAUAUCCAUGAAGAGGGGGCAUGUGCAUGAAUAGUAAGCAAACAUGGAUGUUACAUGCAUCCCUUGUUCACUUUGGGGUGCAGACUUCACAUUUAAAUGCAUUCCAAUUAAGCCCU
rnacentral:lncRNA from 1 species